rnacentral:lncRNA from 1 species
AGAAAUUAAUUUAGAAUUAAUUUUGGGAUUAAAGGAACUGACUGAAAGUGCAGGGGCUAUUUUGUAAUUAUUCAAUAGUUGAGGCUUUGGGCCAUUGGAUCACCUUUAUUAAGGCUUGAACGAAAAUCCUAGAAGGAUCUAGGAGUUUUCAUCCAAGGGCUUAAGGAAAGGAGUCCAUGGACUUGCUUAGGCCCUAAGCUAAGGGAUUAGGGUUUACACCUUGAAACCCUAGUUAGCCUUAUGUAUAAAUAGCACCCUAAGGCACUAAGAUUUCGUCCAAGCCUUGGGAAACCCUAAAAGGGACGAAAUCUAGGGCAAGAUACCCUUCUCUCCUCUCUCCCAUAUUCAUCCUUUCACCUAGUGUGUUUGUGAGCCAUUAGAGGUACUACACUUGUGGUACUUGCUUUCAAGAGCUAAGGAAAUUCAAGGAACUAGUUGUUAUUGCUAUAUAACAACAAAAGGUAUGUAUUCUAGUUUUAUAUAUGAAUUUCGAAAAUAAUAGUAGCAUGCCAGGUUUCUUUUUGUGUUCAUAAAGUUGUAUAACUAAUAGUGAAAACAUAGAUCCAACUCUAGGGUUGCAUGCACACAUAGGAUUGUUUGUAUAAAACCCAUCAGUGGUAUCAGAGCCAUUGGUUUUUGUUUUCAAUUAGCUUUAUUCAAAUGUAUGAACUUGACAUAUUAGGGUUUAUGGCUAAUAAACCCUGGAGGCUUGAUUUUCAAAAUUAGGGUUUCUAAACCCUAGAUUUCGAAAUUUUUGGUAAGAUUUCCUAAACCUUUUUCUUUGGCCCCAAGAUUUCGAUUUUAGGGUUGUCUAACCCUAGAAUUUCGAAAUUGCCUCUUUCCCCAUGAUUAGAUCCUAAAUUUUAGGGAUUUGGAUAUUGCCAUAUCUUGUAAUUAUCCUUUAAAUGUUUAAAUUUGGUAAUUAAAGAUUUUGAAUAUCCCAUCCCAUAAUUUCGAAUUCUAGGGGAUUUAAGGGAUUAGGUUAAAUUAAUUGUUUAAUUUAAAAGAUAUCCUUACCAAAAUAAAAGAUAAUUGUCAAAUUAAUUAGAUAAUCAUUUCCUUAUGUGAUAAACUUGAUUUAUUUGAAUUAUUUGAUAGAUUAUCUUGCAAGAAAUUGAAUUAGGUCAUAUUUAGAUAAUUACUAAUUAAUUGGUUAAUUAUUAUUAUUUGUAAUUUGAUCUAGAAUGUUCUUGCUUAUGUUUUGAAAAGUUUCAAAACUUGCCCUCAAGUUUUGGAAUUUAAAUUGUUUGAUUAAAAGGUUUAAUUUUGAAAAAGUCUAAAUUCUAAAACCCUAAUUUUGAAAAGUUCAAAUUACACCCUUAUGGUUUUAUUAAAUUAAUUAAGUGUAUAAUUAAAAGAGAGUUAAUAAAUCCAUAAUGAUAUGGUUUAUAUUUAAUUAAAUUAAAAGUGUAAUUUAUAAAAUUAAACCACCUAGUAUUUUAAAAGUGUAAAAUACACCCUUAUACUAUGUAUAACAUUAAAAGUCUAAUAUUAUAUAUGUAUAACUUAAAUGCUAGUCUUACCGUUAGUAGGCCUCAUUCACGAAGCCGAUCUAUAAGGGGGGUAUAAGGUUAUGGCCUAUAAAAUGGCCGUUUAAUGGGUGUCCACUCUCACCCACCGCUUCCUUGAUUGGUGGAGGGUCGUUAGCCGAACGGGUAGGAUAGGGCAAACCCUUUCCAUUAAAAGUAUAAUGAAGUAUAAAGUAACUAAAUGUUUUUACAAAAUUCCCAAUCUUAGUUACUUUAGGCAAAAGUGAAUUGAUGCAAUUCCAUGAAAUUACACUUUGUGCCCUUGCGAAGACGUUAGUGGAGCGCGUGUGGUUAACCGGCACACUAAAUGGUUCUAAGCAAAGGUAGCAAAGGGUGACUCAAUGUUUGUCAUAGUUCGGUGGAGCGUGUGUGGUUAACCGGCACAUCGAAUAGGUGACUGUAACAUUGGGGGCACCAUGUAAGUUUGCAUGGUUAUUCACACCCUGUUUUGUGAUCCUCGGCAUCCCAGUCACAAAUCGAGGGGCAUAUCGAGAUUUAAACAUGCCAUUGAAAAGUUCAAUGAAUCUCAAAAGAUCUAGGAAUUUUCAAUAGAUUUAAAACUUAAAUUUCUUUUUCGUUUUUCAUGGUGGAAAUUGGUAAAUCGUCAUUUACCUACCUUCAAAUAUUCUGCAACUAGAUUACGGCAUCCCUCUUCUAGGUUGUAGAGUAUUGUGUUGGAUCCUAGCCUCGAUGUUUCAUUUGGGUGUCACAUCAAGGAUUCUAAUCAACUUAACUUGAAUUUUCUCCCGUUUUGUAGAUGUCUAGUUAUGACAAUCAUGGUCUUCCCAAAUCCCAUGGAACAAGCUUUCCAAACGAAGAUGAUAUUCCACGAUAUGAUCGAGGAACAAGAGAUCAUGCUUCACUUCCUCCACCUCCUCCAAUUAUUCUCCCUAACCCACAAGUUCGAAGGCUUGAAAAGUUCAAGCUCACUCAAGCCCUUUUGGCAAGUAAACAUGGAGAAGGAAAGUCGGUGUGUGCACACGUCCUAGGGAUGAAGUCACACAUUGAUAGGUUAAGAAUGUUGGGAUCCGUUGUCUGUGAGGAAAUGGCUGUUGAUUGGGUUCUUCAGUCACUUCCUAACUCAUAUAGUGAGUUCGUAAGAGAGUACUAUAUGAUGAACCGCGACGUGACCCUUAUAGAUCUCACCUAUAUGCUUAUUGCUGCUGAAUCAGCAAUGGUUUGGCGCAAUAGAAAAGCAAAGUUGAUUGGUGAAUCUGCCUUCAAGACCUCUAUGGAUAUAGACAAUGGCAACGAAAGACAUGCUAUGAUCGAAAAGUUUGAUCAUAAGAGAAAGGCAAUGUCUGAAGUAGUUCCAUGUCCUGUUCCAAAAGAGUCAAUUUGCUUUUAUUGCCAAGAGAAGGGGCAUUGGAGACGAAGCUGCCCUAUUUACCUAAGAGAUCUAAGAGAUGGGAGAGUCAAAACGUAUGGCUCUACUUUAGGUAAAAUCCAUUAACUAACUCUUUUAAGUUCCUAUUCUAGAUUCUUAAUACAUGAUGUGAUAAGAUUACAUUUGGAUGUUUUGUAGGAUCGAAGAAAAGAAAGGAAGCUUAAGGGAAGAAGUGAGCAGAAUCUAACCGUGAAGAAAUGGAUUUCGAUCGCAUUACUUGAAGAUUAGAUUCUUGAGCUACUACUUAGAGUUAGAAUUAGAUUGCUAAGAAAGAUGUAUUAGCAUAGUUUUUCAAUGAAUUGCAUUGUAAGGACAAAUUUUUUCCGCAAUAAAAUAAAUUUUGAUUUUAUAUUAUUUAUUUAUCCUUGCAAUGGCGUGUAUGAAAAAUUGAUGUUUGAAUGUUUCUAUUAUUAGCAAUAAUGGAUUUGAUUCUUAAUUAUGUUGUUUGUGGAAAUGUCGAGAAUUUACCAAAUAGGGAGAGUUUCUCAUCGCCCAAGUUUCAAUUGGACAGAAACUUGGAAUCAUGCAACUUGGUUGCAUGAUGAAUGAGAAAUUUCAUAUUUGGAAAUUAGACUAAUUCAUUGACAAAGUGUCAAGUGAAGGACUAGGAGAUCGAGUACACAAAGUUGCGUGUUGAUCAAGUCCACCAUAAGAGUAACAAAGAUAUUCGUCAUGAUUUACUAAAGGUUUAGUAAAUAUGAUUAUACUUAUAAGAUUAAGUGUAAUUCUGAAUUGAUUGAAAAAGUUUAAAUCAAUAGCAGAACGAAUAAGAAGAAUCAAGUAGGCAGAAAGAUAAAAGUUUCUCCAUUCUAAGAAGAAGGGAGAGUACCUUUUAUGCUUUAUGAUAGGUCUUAAUGAUUAAGAACCAUAUCUCAAUUGAUCCUCUAAGUGAGUCUUAGUACAAUUGUAUGUCUAAGAAGAGGAAUCAAGAAUUGAAGAAAUGGUUAAAUCAAGAAGUCAAUCAUACUUCGUUCCAAAACAAGUCUUAGAGUUAAGAUUGUGACAUUGAGUGAAAAGUAUUAAGAAGGUUUAUAACAUUCAUCAAAUGUGGAAAGUUGUGAUGUCUUGGAUAAGACAAAGACCAACUAGGACCAAUUUAUGAAGUGUUUUGAUAAAAACUACACUAACUCUUGAAUAUUUGUUUGUCAAGAAAGGUUUAUUGACAAGAGAAUCUUAUAUGUCAAGGAGUCAAUGGGAGUCUUAAUGGUCUUGAAAAGUUCAAGAACUAAUCAAGAAUAAACCUUAUCGAUCAUCACUAGCACACGACUUGAGGUUCACAACCCAUCAUGUUGACACUAUCUUGUUUCCGUGCCGCUCCAAUUGAGUUAAUUAUGCAUGUGAGUUCUAUGAGUUCUCAUUUGAACGCAUAAAAGGCAAGCACCUUGAUCAAUGAAAAGUAAAUUGAUAGGAAAGGAUGAACUGCUUAGCUACUUGGAAGACAUGGUGGACACUCGUGUUACCAUGAGGCAAGAAAUCAAGAUUGAGAAAGUUCGGUCCAUAUGAGUUUGAAUUUGUCGUAAACUUUGGUUUUGACAAAUUCACAUGGAUAGGAACACAUACACCAUUAAAAUCUAAGUGUCAUAAGAUUCCCUCCUUCAUGAAAAUGACUGUGAGGAAAUGCUUUCACUAAGAGAGAUUUUAAGAAGAUAGUGAUUGUGAAAAUUGUAUUCUCGAAUUCGAUUAUGGUUACGGUAUCCCUUUCCAUGAUUCGAAUUGUGAGAUUUGGCAAUUAGUCUGAAUUGUUUAGACACACAUAUGAGCUAUCUAAGGCAAAGGUGUAUAAGCUUAGAUAAAGGAUUAUCAAAGCAUUAGGUAUUAGAAAUAUGAACUUAAGAAAUUCAAUAGGUAUUGUUUUCUGGAAGUUAAGCUGUUUUCUGAAUACAUGUCAAAGCUAGUGGGAGCAUAAGUGUUAUGCUUAUAUGAUAAUAAUCAUCAUGAUAGUGGGAGCAUAAAUGUUAUGCUUGUAUGAUUAUUAAGGCAAGUAUUGCAAGUUAGCAAUAUUAAUUAUAGAAAACAAGAGUUAUACUUUGCAAAGUCGUAAGGGUUGAAAAGUUGUUUUGCUAUAAUUAAGGGAGAGAAUAUUAUACUUCAUUUCAAAAUCUAAAGCUUAGAUUGAGAAAUUUUAAUAAAUUUAGUCAAAGGAUACAUAGUGUGUUCUUAAAUUUCGAUUAUGAUUACGGUAUCCCUCUUCAUAGUUCGAAUUGUAAGAACGAGACACAUAAAAUAUUAUGGCAGAAGAUUGAUAAAGUAUCAUAUCUUUAUGUAAGACAUUAUGCAUCGUGUCCCAUACGCUUCGGGUAUAGGAUUGAUUGCAAAUGCUAUAAUAUUUGACCAUUCUAAAAUUUUCCAAAUGUCUAGCGCAUUAAGAGGGAAAAAGGACAAGAAUCGGUUUUGACUAAGAUAAUUAAACAACUAUCAAAGGACGAUCCAAAGCUCGCUGAGGAUUGGUCGCUUGUGAGUAGUUGGAAGUAUGGUAUUGGAUGGACCAUAUCGACAUUAUUAUGAAUAGAUAAGAUUCUAUUAAGAAUGAGUUGUCAUAUGGCAAAUAUGGAAAUGUUUCCAUAUUGGGAGUUGGAUAUUGAGAAUCUAUGUCUAGAUUAGAAACUUUUAUGCAAGAAGGAUGUUCAAAGGAAUGUACUUUGAGUGAGAGACAUCAUAUCUAUAGAAUUGUUUCUGAUAGAGAUUGGCCAAGUCUUGAUGAUUUUGAGCUAUGACUUUACGAAAGAAUCAUUGCAUAAAAUGUUAGAAUCUAGCAUAAGUAACAAGAAUUUGAUAUUCUUAUACUUAUGAUAAGGAUUGGGAGUUGUGAAAUGAGUAUGAUUGGAAAUGUGUUCAUUUGAUCUAUUUCACAAAGUAAGGACCGUAGGUAAACAUUGUGUGCAUGCUAAGAGCAUGGGACAAGUGUAGUAAUAAUUCAAGUAAGAAGUUGAUUACCCGAAACAACAAAUAAUGAGUAAUCAAUAUGGUGAUUAAAUAAAAUGUUUUAUUUAUACCCAGAGUUUGGGGCCAUAUGGGAUUAGUAUUAUUCUUGUGUUUCACUUUGCAUGUUUUGACUUCCUGAAUAAUUAAAUUGGUUCAGAACAAUCAAAUUAUUCGAACGGACCACAGUCGUUCAUAUGUUGGAAGUAGGUAUGAAUGAAGACUGUCGUGAAUUGGUGUGUGGAUUGUCUAAAGUGUAUUAGACAUAAGCAAAUGUUUGCUGCAACGUUCAUGAGUGCUUAUGAAUAUGAUUUGAGCAUUGGAUUAAACCCACGCUCACUUGGAUCACUUCAUGGAUUUUAUCACGAGUGAUUGGUGAGACGAUAAUAUCUUAUAUUCUUGAAACCGAGAUGUGUGAGUUGUAUCUUGCGAGUCGGUUACACAUUGAUAAUAUGUAAACGCACCAGUAACUUGGUGUUAUAAAACAUAUUGUUGUGUGUGAUUCGGUGAGUGAGUGCAAGCAAGCAUUGAAUCAAAGUUUAUCCGUUCCUUUUAUCCAAAGUAGGAUGAAAGCGAUAUCUGUGGGCCCCUCGAUGAUUUAGUGAUGACACCUAAGCGCUUGGCCAAGCCGGGACUAAUUUGAUGUGUUCAAUUGUAGUCUGUUGUCAGUCGUCAUAAAUCGGAAAUCAGGAAACAACACAUAGACAAAGAGAAUGAUUUAAAUCCAUGUCUCAGUCUAUACGAUAUCUAGAAUGGAGGAAUAUAUGAUCCCUUAUCUAAAGGACACGCUUCUGAUAAGAUCAGAGUUGACAGCAGCUUUUGAAAGCUACGAUUGCAGAUCAGGAUCUGAAGUCAUACGCAGAAUAGUUAUUAGACUUAUCCAAGUGGGAGACUGUUGGAUUAGUGUCUAAGUCCAUAACUAUUUUGGUAUGUACUUGACCCGAUUGUGCAUGGUCCUUUUGGGUUGCCUUCACACUGGUGACUAGACAGGAUGAUUGUUGAGGAGAGAGGUUGGUUUAUUGUUAAGAAUAAUAAACUAGGAUAUAAAUAUGAUUUGUUAAUAUAUUAUAUGAAUAAUAUAUUAAUUUGGAAUCAUAUUAUUAAUUAGUAUUUAAUCAGAAAGUAAUUUAGAAUUAAUUUUGGGAUUAAAGGAACUGACUAAAAGUGUAGGGGCUAUUUUGUAAUUAUUCAAUAGUUGAGGCUUUGGGCCAUUGGAUGACCUUUAUUAAGGCUUGAACGAAAAUCCUAGAAGGAUCUAGGAGUUUUCAUCCAAGGGCUUAAGGAAAGGAGUCCAUGGACUUGCUUAGGCCCUAAGCUAAGGGAUUAGGGUUUACACCUUGAAACCCUAGUUAGCCUUAAG